rnacentral:misc_RNA from 1 species
AAGUCGUAACAAGGUUUCCGUAGGUGAACCUGCGGAAGGAUCAUUAUCGAAUGACACCGCCCGAGCUGUGCGAUCUCUCGCACGCAAGGGUGUGUUCAUCAUCCUCACACCUGUGCACCUUCGGGCCAUCCGUGGCCCGCCUUUUUUUCACACCAACUCGUCUGCGAAUGUACAGUCUGUAUAUGUAUAUUAUACAAAUCACAACUUUCAACAACGGAUCUCUUGGCUCUC